UACGUAGGUGGCAAGCGUUGUCCGGAUUUAUUGGGCGUAAAGCGAGCGCAGGCGGUUUCUUAAGUCUGAUGUGAAAGCCCCCGGCUCAACCGGGGAGGGUCAUUGGAAACUGGGGAACUUGAGUGCAGAAGAGGAGAGUGGAAUUCCACGUGUAGCGGUGAAAUGCGUAGAGAUGUGGAGGAACACCAGUGGCGAAGGCGACUCUCUGGUCUGUAACUGACGCUGAGGAGCGAAAGCGUGGGGAGCGAACAGG
rnacentral:rRNA from 1 species